rnacentral:rRNA from 1 species
UACGUAGGGGGCAAGCGUUGUCCGGAAUCAUUGGGCGUAAAGAGCGUGUAGGCGGCCCGAUAAGUCCGCUGUGAAAGUCCAGGGCUCAACCCUGGAAUGCCGGUGGAUACUGUCGGGCUCGAAUCCGGAAGAGGUGAGUGGAAUUCCUGGUGUAGCGGUGAAAUGCGUAGAUAUCAGGAGGAACACCUGUGGUGUAGACGGCUCUCUGGACAGUCACUGACGCUGAGACACGAAAGCGUGGGUAGCAAACAGG